GAAGGAAAAAACCCUCUGAAAAAUUUUUCGGGGACUGCGCCUGGGCGCAGUGAGUAGAGAGUGCAGAGAGUAGAUGGCCUUCGGAUCGUCUGCCCUGUGCUGCCCUGGCAGCCCCCAGCCACAUCCUCAUCUCACCUCUCCAGUCUUCACUCACGGACUCUGGCGUUUCCGCACCUUUGGCGGCCCCUCGCCUUACCUCUCCUUCCCUGGCCUUCCCCAUGAGCUUGAGUGUCUCAGCCAGCCAGUCCCGCUGACCGCUUACCAUGCCGGGUACCUUGCCAGCUAUUGGGAGUGCCUGUCUCCCAGUACCUUACAGUCUCGUGGAAAAAAUACGUAUUGCCAUGACUAAUAGUGAUGGCCAGCAUUUGUUUCUUGAGCGUUUCAGGAUCGCCAGUUCUGCCAAGGACUGAGCCCAGGGAACCGUCUUAUGUGGUCGAAACAAAUUUAUCCACAUCGCGGAAACCAAGGCUUAGAGAGACUUUUUUUUUUUUUUUUGCUUCAGGAAACGUAGCGGCGUCGGGAACUGCAGGUCCGGGCCACAGAGGCAAGGCCGCUGUCACCCGAGGCCGAGUUUCAGGCCUGGGGGUCCCGGGAAGGCUCCGAGGCAGCGGUGCCAGGGGUGGACUGGACGGAGCUUCUCCCGGAGAGUAGCCUGCGCCGGCCCUGCCCGGAGGGGCCCCAGCGGACUAGGGAGACCCCCGGAACACACUCGAGGGGCCCUGUAGGGGGCGCGAGGGCAAGGCAGGCGCCCCCUCCCGCCUCGCCCGCGAACCCCAGCUCCUAGCCCCGUGUUCUGUCCCCGCAGAGUUUGCGCACCUGAGCCCCCUGCUCUAGUGGGUAAACCCGAAGGGCCUGGCGAGAGCGAGCGGACGCUCGGCGUUCACGGCCGCGACCCGCUGCGUCCUGGCGCUGGGUGCUCAGUUCAGCGUGCUUCUUUUAGAACUUUCAGGCCAAUUUCCCGGACUACCUUCUAGGUCUUCCUGAACCAGAUCCAAGUCCCUGUUGCUUUAUCGCCUAUUCCGCGGUUAAAGCAAAGAGAGACAAAGCGGCGUUUCCUGACCCGACCAGGGCGCCCACAAUGGGCGAAGGGUUCCCCGGGCUCGGAGGCGCUGCCAGGGCCGGACACUCGGCAAGGCGGGCAAAUGUCAGUGGGCGAGAGGGACGCCUCCUCCUUCCGCGGCUACAAGCUUCAGAUCUCAGGCCCGGCAGGCGGGCCAUGCGCGCUGAUGGACUGCAGCCACGUGGCAUGAUAAAAGCUGUGCAAACAGAUGGCCUUCAACAAGGUUUAUUCUUGAAGCUGAAAGGAAAACAGUCUCUGACAUGCCCUGCCCUCUGCCC
ensembl:lncRNA